rnacentral:rRNA from 1 species
GAAGCAGCAGGCACGCAAAUUACCCACUCCCGGCACGGGGAGGUAGUGACGAAAAAUAACGAUACGGGACUCAUCCGAGGCCCCGUAAUCGGAAUGAGAACACUUUAAACCCUUUAACGAGUAUCCAUUGGAGGGCAAGUCUGGUGCCAGCAGCCGCGGUAAUUCCAGCUCCAAUAGCGUAUAUUAAAGUUGUUGCGGUUAAAAAGCUCGUAGUUGGAUGUGUGUCCCACGCUGUCGGUUCACCGCUCGUCGGUGUUUAACUGGCAUGGCAGUGCGGACGUCCUGCCGGUGGAUGCGGUCGGCCGCGGGCCUCUGGUCUGCGUGUCGGCGGUCCUAUCAAAUCCUACCGCGGUGCUCUUCACCGAGUGUCGAGGUGGGCCGGCACGUUUACUUUGAACAAAUUAGAGUGCUCAAAGCAGGCAGUGGCUCGCCUGAAUAUUGUGUGCAUGGAAUAAUGGAAUAGGACCUCGGUUCUAUUUUGUUGGUUUUCGGAACCCCGAGGUAAUGAUUAACAGGAACAGACGGGGGCAUUCGUAUUGCGACGUUAGAGGUGAAAUUCUUGGAUCGUCGCAAGACGAACCUAAGCGAAAGCAUUUGCCAUGAAUGUUUUCAUUAAUCAAGAACGAAAGUUAGAGGUUCGAAGGCGAUCAGAUACCGCCCUAGUUCUAACCAUAAACGAUGCCAGCCAGCGAUCCGCCGAAGUUCCUCCGAUGACUCGGCGGGCAGCUUCCGGGAAACCAAAGCUUUUGGGUUCCGGGGGAAGUAUGGUUGCAAAGCUGAAACUUAAAGGAAUUGACGGAAGGGCACCACCAGGAGUGGAGCCUGCGGCUUAAUUUGACUCAACACGGGAAACCUCACCAGGCCCGGACACCGGAAGGAUUGACAGAUUGAGAGCUCUUUCUUGAUUCGGUGGGUGGUGGUGCAUGGCCGUUCUUAGU